GCCCAAAGGUUCCCUCAGAAUGGUUGGAAAUCAUUCGCAGAGUGUAAAGGCACAAGGGAGCUUGACUGCGAGACCUACAAGUCGAGCAGGGACGAAAGUCGGGCUUAGUGAUCCGGUGGUUCCGCAUGGAAGGGCCAUCGCUCAAC
rfam:Bacillus sp. FJAT-27231 Scaffold1, whole genome shotgun sequence.